GGUCAGACUGAUCAGCAAUGAGUUUCUUUCAAAAGCAACUGUAGUUCAGAGUCCUGUGGUAUGACCUUGCUAGGGCUGUAAGUGUGUGUUUAAUUCACAAAUCCUCUCUUGUUAAAAGAAAAGAAGAAAAAAAUCUGUUAUCAGUGUAGCAGUGAGCAGAGCAAGCAUGUUAAUGACUGGAGCUGAGGGAUGAGCAUGGAAGACCCAGCUUACUGUCCUGCUUGUCUGUUACCAUAGGACUACAGAAAGCCAGUAUCUCAAUGGGAUAUCUGCUCUUUUAAAGGCCUCAUGCGUUACAACCAAAACAUCAGACUCCAUCUUUUCCCCUGAGGAGAAUGGGAGAAGAGGAUGCCAAGUUCCAGAGAACAAUAAACACUUUGGGCCAAAUCCUCCCUUCGUCUAUGGUGGUGUAAAUCUAACGUCUCUUCAUCCAGCUGACAGCAGAAACACAACAGAACAACAUUAUUCUCUAGCGGUCAACAUUAAUUGCAAACUGAUGGCCACUUCUGAACAUGGGAGUCUUCACUGGGC